GGAAGUAAAAGUCGUAGCAAGGUCUCCGUUGGUGAACCAGCGGAGGGAUCAUUACAGAGUUUUCACAACUCCCAACCCUUGCGAACCGUACCCAUUCUGUUCUCGUUGCUUCCGGCGGGGGGGACGGGGGGGCCCGAAACGGCCUCCCCGCCCCGCCCGCCGGGGGCGGCGGGCCCUACGAACCUUUAUAUCUCAACCACCAGAAACCGUCUGAGAAAACAAAUAAAAUAAUCAAAACUUUCAACAACGGAUCUCUUGGCUCUG
rnacentral:misc_RNA from 1 species